GAUGAAGAACGUAGUGAAAUGCGAUAAGUAAUGUGAAUUGCAGAAUCCAGUGAAUCAUCGAAUCUUUGAACGCACAUUGCGCCCGCCAGCAUUCUGGCGGGCAUGCCUGUUCGAGCGUCAUUUCAACCCUCGACCUCCCUUUGGGGAAGUCGGCGUUGGGGACCGGCAGCACACCGCCGGCCCUGAAAUGGAGUGGCGGCCCGUCCGCGGCGACCUCUGCGUAGUAAUCCAACUCGCACCGGAACCCCGACGUGGCCACGCCGUAAAACACCCAACUUCUGAACGUUGACCUCGAAUCAGGUAGGACUACCCGCUGAACUUAAGCAUAUCAAUAAGCGGAGGA
rnacentral:misc_RNA from 1 species